AGCGUACACGGUGGAUGCCCUGGCAGUCAGAGGCGAUGAAGGACGUGCUAAUCUGCGAUAAGCGUCGGUGAGGUGAUAUGAACCGUUAUAACCGGCGAUUUCCGAAUGGGGAAACCCAGUGUGUUUCGACACACUAUCAUUAACUGAAUCCAUAGGUUAAUGAGGCGAACCGGGGGAACUGAAACAUCUAAGUACCCCGAGGAAAAGAAAUCAACCGAGAUUCCCCCAGUAGCGGCGAGCGAACGGGGAGGAGCCCAGAGCCUGAAUCAGUGUGUGUGUUAGUGGAAGCGUCUGGAAAGGCGCGCGAUACAGGGUGACAGCCCCGUACACAAAAAUGCACAUAUUGUGAGCUCGAUGAGUAGGGCGGGACACGUGGUAUCCUGUCUGAAUAUGGGGGGACCAUCCUCCAAGGCUAAAUACUCCUGACUGACCGAUAGUGAACCAGUACCGUGAGGGAAAGGCGAAAAGAACCCCGGCGAGGGGAGUGAAAAAGAACCUGAAACCGUGUACGUACAAGCAGUGGGAGCCUCUUAAUGGGGUGACUGCGUACCUUUUGUAUAAUGGGUCAGCGACUUAUAUUCUGUAGCAAGGUUAACCGAAUAGGGGAGCCGAAGGGAAACCGAGUCUUAACUGGGCGUUAAGUUGCAGGGUAUAGACCCGAAACCCGGUGAUCUAGCCAUGGGCAGGUUGAAGGUUGGGUAACACUAACUGGAGGACCGAACCGACUAAUGUUGAAAAAUUAGCGGAUGACUUGUGGCUGGGGGUGAAAGGCCAAUCAAACCGGGAGAUAGCUGGUUCUCCCCGAAAGCUAUUUAGGUAGCGCCUCGUGAAUUCAUCUCCGGGGGUAGAGCACUGUUUCGGCAAGGGGGUCAUCCCGACUUACCAACCCGAUGCAAACUGCGAAUACCGGAGAAUGUUAUCACGGGAGACACACGGCGGGUGCUAACGUCCGUCGUGAAGAGGGAAACAACCCAGACCGCCAGCUAAGGUCCCAAAGUCAUGGUUAAGUGGGAAACGAUGUGGGAAGGCCCAGACAGCCAGGAUGUUGGCUUAGAAGCAGCCAUCAUUUAAAGAAAGCGUAAUAGCUCACUGGUCGAGUCGGCCUGCGCGGAAGAUGUAACGGGGCUAAACCAUGCACCGAAGCUGCGGCAGCGACACUAUGUGUUGUUGGGUAGGGGAGCGUUCUGUAAGCCUGUGAAGGUGGCCUGUGAGGGUUGCUGGAGGUAUCAGAAGUGCGAAUGCUGACAUAAGUAACGAUAAAGCGGGUGAAAAGCCCGCUCGCCGGAAGACCAAGGGUUCCUGUCCAACGUUAAUCGGGGCAGGGUGAGUCGACCCCUAAGGCGAGGCCGAAAGGCGUAGUCGAUGGGAAACAGGUUAAUAUUCCUGUACUUGGUGUUACUGCGAAGGGGGGACGGAGAAGGCUAUGUUGGCCGGGCGACGGUUGUCCCGGUUUAAGCGUGUAGGCUGGUUUUCCAGGCAAAUCCGGAAAACCAAGGCUGAGGCGUGAUGACGAAGCACUACGGUGCUGAAGCGACAAAUGCCCUGCUUCCAGGAAAAGCCUCUAAGCAUCAGGUAACAUCAAAUCGUACCCCAAACCGACACAGGUGGUCAGGUAGAGAAUACCAAGGCGCUUGAGAGAACUCGGGUGAAGGAACUAGGCAAAAUGGUGCCGUAACUUCGGGAGAAGGCACGCUGAUAUGUAGGUGAAGCGACUUGCUCGUGGAGCUGAAAUCAGUCGAAGAUACCAGCUGGCUGCAACUGUUUAUUAAAAACACAGCACUGUGCAAACACGAAAGUGGACGUAUACGGUGUGACGCCUGCCCGGUGCCGGAAGGUUAAUUGAUGGGGUUAGCGGUAACGCGAAGCUCUUGAUCGAAGCCCCGGUAAACGGCGGCCGUAACUAUAACGGUCCUAAGGUAGCGAAAUUCCUUGUCGGGUAAGUUCCGACCUGCACGAAUGGCGUAAUGAUGGCCAGGCUGUCUCCACCCGAGACUCAGUGAAAUUGAACUCGCUGUGAAGAUGCAGUGUACCCGCGGCAAGACGGAAAGACCCCGUGAACCUUUACUAUAGCUUGACACUGAACAUUGAGCCUUGAUGUGUAGGAUAGGUGGGAGGCUUUGAAGUGUGGACGCCAGUCUGCAUGGAGCCGACCUUGAAAUACCACCCUUUAAUGUUUGAUGUUCUAACGUUGGCCCGUAAUCCGGGUUGCGGACAGUGUCUGGUGGGUAGUUUGACUGGGGCGGUCUCCUCCUAAAGAGUAACGGAGGAGCACGAAGGUUGGCUAAUCCUGGUCGGACAUCAGGAGGUUAGUGCAAUGGCAUAAGCCAGCUUGACUGCGAGCGUGACGGCGCGAGCAGGUGCGAAAGCAGGUCAUAGUGAUCCGGUGGUUCUGAAUGGAAGGGCCAUCGCUCAACGGAUAAAAGGUACUCCGGGGAUAACAGGCUGAUACCGCCCAAGAGUUCAUAUCGACGGCGGUGUUUGGCACCUCGAUGUCGGCUCAUCACAUCCUGGGGCUGAAGUAGGUCCCAAGGGUAUGGCUGUUCGCCAUUUAAAGUGGUACGCGAGCUGGGUUUAGAACGUCGUGAGACAGUUCGGUCCCUAUCUGCCGUGGGCGCUGGAGAACUGAGGGGGGCUGCUCCUAGUACGAGAGGACCGGAGUGGACGCAUCACUGGUGUUCGGGUUGUCAUGCCAAUGGCACUGCCCGGUAGCUAAAUGCGGAAGAGAUAAGUGCUGAAAGCAUCUAAGCACGAAACUUGCCCCGAGAUGAGUUCU
rnacentral:rRNA from 1 species